UAGCUCUGGACCUAAGCUCCACACCUGUGUCAUCAGAUUUCGGGACGUCCUACACCAAGCUCACCCUCCAGCCUGGUGUCACCACCGUCAUCGACAAUUUCUACAUCUGCCCGACCAACAAGAGGAAGGUCAUCCUUGUCAGCUCCUCACUCAGUGACCGGGACCAGAGCCUAUUCCUCAGCGCAGACGAAGGCGCCACCUUUCAGAAGC
rnacentral:lncRNA from 1 species